rnacentral:rRNA from 1 species
GAUGAACGCUGGCGGCGUGCCUAAUACAUGCAAGUCGAGCGAACGGACGAGAAGCUUGCUUCUCUGAUGUUAGCGGCGGACGGGUGAGUAACACGUGGAUAACCUACCUAUAAGACUGGGAUAACUUCGGGAAACCGGAGCUAAUACCGGAUGAUAUUUUUAACCGCAUGGUUCAAAAGUGAAAGACGGUCUUGCUGUCACUUAUAGAUGUAUCCGCGCUGCAUUAGCUAGUUGGUAAGGUAACGGCUUACCAAGGGAACGAUGCAUAGCCGACCUGAGAGGGUGAUCGGCCACACUGGAACUGAGACACGGUCAAGACUCCUACGGGAGGCAGCAGUAGGGAAUCUUCCGCAAUGGGCGAAAGCCUGACGGAGCAACGCCGCGUGAGUGAUGAAGGUCUUCGGAUCGUAAAACUCUGUUAUUAGGGAAGAACAUAUGUGUAAGUAACUGUGCACAUCUUGACGGUACCUAAUCAGAAAGCCACGGCUAACUACGUG